GGAAGCAGCGGCGGCGGCUGAGGGGAACAAGUUGCUGGACUUGGGUGCUGCUUCCCGCCGCUCAACUCCCGGGUUGGGGAGGGAGGAAGGGAGAGCGCGCGGGCGCCUGUGCGCGCGAGGCACGCCAGUAGAAUUCGAGCUGCCCGACCCUCGAGACGAAGUUAUUCCUGCAUCCUUCUCCAAUCUGGCGCCCUCCAGGUGCCGGCUGAGAAAGUUGCCUGGUAUGGCCAACUAAAAGACGCUUAUUUAUAGGUUAUUUAUAGGAUAAAACAAGGAAGAACCAUUGCACUGCUUAGAGCUCACUGGAGAAAGAGCCAACAUAAAUGCAAGUAAUAAAUCCACUGAAAAAACUUCUCUUCUUGAGAUUGGUUCCCUUUGUGUACUUUUUUCCAUGCUAACUCCAGUCAACGGAAGAUUACUUGUUUUGCAUUAAAAUGAUUGAUGAUGUGUA